UACGUAGGGUGCAAGCGUUGUCCGGAAUUAUUGGGCGUAAAGAGCUUGUAGGCGGUUUGUCGCGUCUGCUGUGAAAUUUCGGGGCUCAACCCCGAACUUGCAGUGGGUACGGGCAAACUAGAGUGUGGUAGGGGAGACUGGAAUUCCUGGUGUAGCGGUGAAAUGCGCAGAUAUCAGGAGGAACACCGAUGGCGAAGGCAGGUCUCUGGGCCAUAACUGACGCUGAGAAGCGAAAGCAUGGGGAGCGAACAGG
rnacentral:rRNA from 1 species